UGCGGCAUUUUGUACAUGUGAUCAAAAUAACGUAAAAACUCAUUAUCUCAUUAUCUUAGAAAGUAUUUUAGUAUUUUUAGAUAACUUAAGAAAAACUUUGUCUAAAAUUUGGCAUUGUGGUUAUUUUUUGUCACCUUUAUUUGAAGAGGUAAAACCGCACUUUUGAUUUUUAAAUAACAAGCUAUAUUUAACAUUCCGUGAAUAUAUGGAGUAUUAGUUUAAAUACAUGUUGACAUUUUUGAUUUCGGUCAACCCGGUGACGAGAAAUUCUACUUUUAAGUUUGGGUUGGAGGAGAAUAAUGGAACAUGACUUAUGUGAUGGUAUGGCGCACGACGUUUUAAUAAUGCACU